CGGGAUGGGUGAGUAAUGCCUAGGAAUCUGCCUGGUAGUGGGGGACGAACGUUUCGAAAGGAACGCUAAUACCGCAUACGUCCUACGGGAGAAAGCAGGGACCUUCGGGCCUUGCGCUAUCAGAUGAGCCUAGGUCGGAUUAGCUAGUUGGUGAGGUAAUGGCUCACCAAGGCGACGAUCCGUAACUGGUCUGAGAGGAUGAUCAGUCACACUGGAACUGAGACACGGUCCAGACUCCUACGGGAGGCAGCAGAC
rnacentral:rRNA from 1 species